rnacentral:rRNA from 1 species
CGUUAGCGGCGGACUGGUGAGUAACACGUGGGUAACCUACCUAUAAGACUGGGAUAACUUCGGGAAACCGGAGCUAAUACCGGAUAAUAUUUCGAACCGCAUGGUUCGAUAGUGAAAGAUGGUUUUGCUAUCACUUAUAGAUGGACCCGCGCCGUAUUAGCUAGUUGGUAAGGUAACGGCUUACCAAGGCGACGAUACGUAGCCGACCUGAGAGGGUGAUCGGCCACACUUGAACUGAGACAUGGUCCAG